AAAAAAAUUGCUGGGUCAUAUGGUAACUCUAUAUUUAACUUUCUGAGAAACUGCCAAAUAGUUUUGCAAAGCAGCUGUACCAUUUUACAUUCUCAUCAACAAU
rnacentral:pre_miRNA from 1 species